AUUACGAGAGAGAAUAGAAGAUUAAUGACAUACUUAAACACUUAACUUAUUAUCUUUUCCUCAUAAUAUAAAACUCCAUAACUAAGUCGACGUUUUUCUCUCUUCUCCCCAGAUUCUCAGCGGGCCUGAGAGCAACAAAGAAGGUGACGGGCGAUGGAGCCACCACAACAACCGCCCACCCGUCACUCUCAGACGCCCCUCGGCCCCGCAGCCCCGCCCACAUCCACGCCCACCGUUACACCGGCCUGAAGUGAACUAUGUUGACCUCGAGUCCCAGAGACACCACCUGUUCUCGCCCCGCCCCCUUUUGCCUCCGGCCCACGAGGAGGCCACGCCCACUCACCAUCGAGGGAGGAGCAUCCGCAUGUCAACCCAGGCUGGCAGAGGUGAUGACCCAGGAGGAUUUUCCGAAGCAGAAGCAAGCGAAGGAGGCGCUGCAGAAGGAGGAGGAAGAGGAGGAGGAGAAGAAGGAGGAGGAAG